rnacentral:lncRNA from 1 species
CCAUCUACAUUGCUUUGAGUCGAAAGCAAACACCCCAUCGAAAAAAGUCACCACGUGGAGCUUUCCGUCAAUAAGAAAAUUGAUUCUGGCGCUAUCAAAACCACCACAGGAAGGGAGAUCCCAAGUUUGGGUGUUUGUGUUGAAUACCUCGAAGGAGCUCUUCCAGGAACCAUCAUCUUGAUGGAAGCGUCGUCCGAGUACAUAUAUCUUGCGAUCAAGGACCGUGGCAGAAAGUUCAGUUAGCUCCACUGGCAUGCGUGGAGACUUACGCCACCUGUGAGUCUUGCAAUCAAGGAUCGAGACCCCAGAGGUGGGCAUGGUUUUAUUUUUAUCUGCUACGCCAAUGUUGUAGAUAUCAGAACCAACCGCCACAAGAUCUGAAUAACACAAACCCAUCAUACGAGGAGAAUUAUCAUCGAGCGUUAAGACUCUAGUCAAAACGUAGCCGCCGCCGUCACUACUCUUGGAGGAGAGGGUGUACCACUUAUAACAAGUAAACCCGAACCUCAAGCAAACAUAGAGACAAGUCUCCGUGAGGCCCAAGAGUGACCUAACCUUGUAAAGCUCAGGUGAAACCACCAUACAUCGGAAGCUCUUGGAGACCAGUGACAAAGUCCGAUAGUACGAUCUUGGAACGCGUGCCACGAUCAUCACUAGCAAAUCAUAGGGAAGUGACGACGAUGAUGUGAGCUUCUUCUUCUUCUUCUCCCUAAUACUCGUAGUCGUCGUUGUCUUCCUCUUCCUCCUCGUCGAUACGGAAUCGCCCUUGAUCAACCUCUCCAUUUCGGCUCCAAUUUAGGGGUUGGCGCCUCCCUGGCGGAACAAACAAACAAACAAAAAAAAUUAUUGAGUAGGUGAAAUUAGGGUUCCUCUCGGAAGAAAACGAAACUGCGACCUUCUUCUUCUUCUCGCCGUUUGGUUUGAUUUUUUCAAAGCUGCUGUGUACUAUUAUGGGUAUGGGGUCUUUUGUAUUGGGCUUUAUUAAGCCCACUACUUCUCACUACAAUUUUAAAUGCGGAUUUUGGGUUAUAGCAUUUCGUUUUGGGUAUGGGGUAUUUUCUAUUGGGCUUUGUUAAGCACACUAUUUUGGGUGCGUAUAGCAUUUCGUUUUUACAAAACAUGUCUGAAAUUUUAGAAUUUUGGAUCUUUCUACAAUACUAAACCAUUUUAGACUUAAAGCUUCUAUCUUUUACUCUAAACCAAUAAUUUUACAAACAUUUAUAACUAGAUGAUACAUUAUUAAUUCAAGUACCGUUAAAUACAAACAAAACAAAUUGGGGGAGUACCAUUUAAUUUGAGAUUGAAAACAAAAGCUCACCUGAGGCUGAGCAGUAUCUGUUAAAUACAAACAAAACGAAACAAAAAAAAAUUGGGGUUUUACCAAAAAAAAACAAAAAAACAAAUGGGGGAGAAAGCUGACCUGAGACCUGAUAUUUGCGAUCACACUACUUACAUAGCUCUGAUAUGUCCUCCAUAUACUUGAGAAGUCCCUCAUCUUGUCUCCAGUUCUCCAAAUUGCGAUUUCAAUAUAAAGUAAGCACGAUUUUGAUAAUAUAUGCCUAAUGGGAUGCUUAUUUUUAGCGAUUCUGUGACCCAAAUGAUGAUUUUGGUGUGUGUUGAUUUGGUGCUCUCUUCAGAACCAUGGCUGGUAACACGGAGGGGAGAGAAGUUCUACCGGAUAAAUUAGAAGAUGCCAGGCAAGCUGGAGGGAAGAAUUCAAAUAGGUGUACUUUGAUUUUGACCGAGGGAGAUUCCUCCAAAGCUCUAGCGGUAUGGUCUCUGUCUCUUGUAGAAGUCGUUGAACGAGUUAUUGGGUUGAGUUGGUCAAAACAUUAAACAAGUCAUUGAGUUCGUUUACGAGAUUCCGAGGAGUAAUUGCUUUGAAUAAGUUUCAUGUAAACAAAGUCUUGGGAUUUUCUGUUUCAGUUGUGAGCUAUAGUCAUGGUUUAUUCUCAAUAAGAAAGAACACAGUUGCUUUAUAUUCUGUUUCAGUUUUUUCCUUGAUAUAUUAAGACUCCUGAUUCUCUUUUGCUCCUUUCAGAUGUCCGGUCUGACUUCCGAUAAGCGUGACUUCUAUGGUGUUUAUCCAAUCACAGGAAAGAUUUUGAAUGUUAGAAAAGCCAGUUCAGCUCAAAUCAAUAGGAACAAGUUCAUUCAAGAUCUUAAGAAAAUUCUAAAACUGGAACUUCAAAAGGAGUACACAGACACUUCAUCACUGCGAUAUGGACGUGUGAUACUCAUGACAGAUCAAGUAAGUACUAACUUUCUAUAUACCAAUAGUGAAUUAUUUUAUACAUACAUUUACUGAAACUUUUGUAAGCUUAGAUCGACUGUGGUUUUUGCUUAGAUGGAUUGUAAGCUUUAUGACCACUGCAUCCUAUGCUCUUAUUCUCGGCGUUAACCUGCUCAUGUUUGCUUUGUUUGUCUUGCUCCUUUUGGAAUUAAAUCAUAAUUAAUUAAUGAUAUAUAUUGUGAGAUGAUAAGUUUUGAGUUAAAUAAAGACUAAAGAGUAAUAAAAGAGCUACAAAACCGUUAGCUAUUGUUAUUGAAUAUAUAUUAUCACUGCAUGAAACGAAACGUUAGGGAUAUAGAUGUGUGAUAAUCAAUGACAGAUCAAGUACUAACUUUCUAGAUACCCAUAGUGAGUUAUUUUCUACUGACAUUUACUGAAACUUUUUACCCUGUACAGGAUGAUGAUGGAACUCACAUGAGUGGCUUAUUGAUAAACUUGUUUUCUUUUCUGUGGCCUUCGUUACUCAAGCUUCCAUCAUCAUUCCUAAUUGAUUUUGUAACUCCCCUUAUCAAGGUAAGUAGAUUACUUCCUUUGUGAUUGACACUGUAAAAACAGUUUUUAACUUCCUAAAUAUACUCAGGUAACGCACGAGACUAAAGAAGCUGAGACAUUUUCAUCACUGCGUGAAUUCAAGGAGUGGAAAGAAAAAGAUAAGGCUCAUGCAACUGAGUGGUCUGUGAAGUUUUACAAGGUUUGUUUUUCCUUGUAAAAAUAGAGUGCUUUCCGUUGUAAAAAUAGAGCAUUUAGUGCGUUCUCUCCAUAUUAAUAUUGUGUAUAUUUCUACAGGGAUUGGGUUCAAGUACCUUCGAGGAGGGAAUUCUGUACUUUAAUCAUAUUGAUAUUCACGUAAGGGAAUUUGUUUGGGAAGGUGAUGCUGAUGGAGAGGCAAUAAAUAUAGCUUUUGGAGGCGAUCCGGAAAAACGAAAAGAAUGGAUUCGGAAGUAUAACCAAGUUGAUUCUCUGGUACAGAAGCUUUAACUAUUUUUAAGAUAUCAAUCUAUUCUUAGCUUUCUUAUAUGAUUAUAUCUGCCAGUGAUAACAUUUUGCUUUUAUAUACAUACAGCAUGGACCGAGAGGAAAUAAAAUAACGUACAAAGAGUUUGUAAAUAACGAACUUGUCUUGUUCACCAUAGCGAAUCUCCAGAGGUCUAUUCCCACAAUGUUUGAUGGGCUCAAAUCAGGAGAGAGAAAGAUUCUCUUUACUGCAUUCAAGAUAGAUCUCACUGAGCUUACCCCUCUUGACGAGUUUUCCAGCCUAGUAUCACAACAUUCAGCAUAUCACCACAGUAGGAAGUGCAUUUCCAAUGUUAUAAUACGCAUGGCUCAGGAUUUCAUUGGUCGGAACAAUGUGAAUUUAUUUGAGCCAUCUGGACAGUUUGGCACAAGUGCUUCGGUAAGGAUAGUUUGAAAAGCAAUUUAAACAUAUUUACCUAUGUUCUUGUCUUAUGAUGGUGAUUUUCAUGAUUGUUGUCUCAAGGGAGGAAAGGAUGCAGCAAAUGAGAGAUACUUGCAUACUAAGCUCAAACCAGUGGCAAGGGUCUUGUUUCCCAAAGCUGAUGAUGCUCUGCUUCACUACAAAUUGGAAUAUGGGCGAAAGCUGGAGCCAACUCGGUAAUUCAUACCCAAGCAGGAUAUUUACUUAAUUUGUUUAAGACAUCUAACUUGGCUUAAAUUUGCUUAAUUUGUUUGUUAGGUAUUUUCCAAUUAUUCCGUUGGUCUUAUUGAAUGGGGCAAAAGGUAUUGGUUCAGGGUUUAGCACUUUCAUACCACAAUAUAACCCACGAGAUGUUAUUGCAAAUAUAAGGCGUGGAAUCAAAUGUGAAGAAAUGGAGCCUAUGGUGCCUUGGUAUCGAGAUUUUGAGGGAGAGAUUAAAAAAACAAGAGAAGGCGUGUACACAUCCUAUGGUAAGUGUCACGAUGUUAACGAUAACACUGUUCAAAUUUCAGUGUUACCGAUUGGGUUGUGGACUGAUGAUUAUAAGAAGAUCUUGCAUGCACUUAAGGCAAACAAUGGUGACCCCUUGAUCGAGGUAAAUGCUUGUUCAAUCUAAAACUGUGAAAUUAAGUGUUAUAGUUUCAUUCUCAUAUAGCUGACUUCUUCUUUAUAUAGGAUGUUAGCGUACACAAUGAUGGUCCAUCAAUGGUGUUUAAUGUAAUAUUGAGUAAAAAACACAAGAAGGAGGCUCGACGAGAGGGUUAUUUAAAGAAAUUCAAACUCGAAAAGAAUAUUACAACCACCAACAUGCACCUCCUUAUGGAUGGGACGAUUAAAAAGUAUCACACCCCUGAAGAAAGUAAGUGGAUAUCCAUCCAAAUUGUUUACCAUUCUAUUUGUUCAGUAUAGUCUAAUUCGGCAUUUUACCUUGCAGUUAUAAAAGAUUUUUACCCGCACAGACUGGAACUCUAUGAGAAAAGAAAGGUAUGUCUAACUUUCAGACAAUAAAAAGUCUGAAUUAAUCUUUUGUGGUUGUUGACAAAACGAGAAAUAAGAAGGGUAUGUCUAACUUUGAACAGGGAAAAAUGGCGGUCGCUCUGACAAGUGAGAUAGAAGAACUCCAAAGAAAAAUUCAGUUCUUAAAAGAUGUCGACCGUGGUGUCAUUCUUGUCGUUGGUAGAUUGAAGAGUGAAAUCAUUAAAGAACUUAAAAGUGGUGAUGAGAAGUUCUUAGAGCUGUCUCUAACCAUGGAUCAGUGUAUUGAGUUGGAGAAAGAGCUUGCAGAGAAAAAUCAAGAGGUAGGACACUUGAAUAGCUCCUCAGCUGAGUCAAUGUACGAGGAAGACUUGAAGAAAUUUGAGUCCAUGUUAUCUGAGGUAAGUGCUCUUUUGUUACGUAUUUGUUAAUCGUUGUCAAGAUAUUUAAUUAACAAUGUUUUGUUUAUGCAGAGCGAUGAUUUAAACUCUAGAAAACGUGGGAUGAUGGCUAUGUCUUGCCAAAGGACAGUUAAACCAAAGAAAACUCAAUAGUAAACUCUAUAAUGAUAAACUACUUGCUUAUCUGUGUUUCAGCUUAAAAACUCAUUGAUACAACUAGUUUGUUGCCGUUUUGAUUACGUCUUAAAUUUGUUUCCCAGAUGGAAUACAGUCUAUAAUUUACGCUUUUCUUGUCCUACUCAUAUGUCACUUUAUUCAUCAUUAUGUAUAAAUCUUCAUUAUAAACUGUUCAAGUUUUAACAAAGAAGAAAAGGAAACGUAUAUAGGCAGAGAGAAACAUCUUAUGUAGACCUGUGCAACCGUACUUCAACUAAUAUUAAGAAGCAAGAUCAUGUAACUUGAACGUUUGAGUUGAUCAAGCGUAUAUCAUCAUUUGAUGACUUCAACAUUAGAGUUAACACUCAAACAAACGAUUAUAAAAAUUGAGUGUUCUGUGUUACAAAAAUAAAAUAAAAAAAAUUGAGUGUUCCACGUUAAAAUUACGACCAAAUGUAAAAAGAUUCGUCUUAGAUUGAUUCGUCGAUUUAUUUUUAUGAAAUAUCAAUUAACCUCACAUUACACCAAUGAAUGAAUGAAAACAUCUUAUGUUUUAUGUGGUAAUCGUUUUCAGGGCGAUUUGUUGAAAGUGAUUUAUUCUCUUGCAUUUCGACAUCAUAUAUACUAAGCAGCAAGAGUUGAUCAAGCGUAUGAUGAUGACUUCAACCUGCUCUGUAAACUUUCAUGACGUAAGUAAGGACCAAGAUGGAUGUAAAAGAGAACAAGGACCAGAGAAACUUAAUUAGAAUUUUGAAAAAGCCAUUCCAAAACAAAAUAAAGUUAAAGAAAGACACCACCACAUUCAUCAUCAUCAUCAUUCAAAGCGUUACAGCAAGAACCUUAACGAACUGGGUUUCCAAAGGGACUAAAAGCAUACUAUCAAACCACUCAAGUUUGCCCCAACAAUCUCCAUUGCGUCUUUCAAGGGCUAUCUCGGCACAAUAUAUGGUGUCCCUUUGAAACGGGCGGUGAAUACCUAAAUUGCAAUUCCAGAAAACCAUCAUCUUUCCACCACCGUAACCCGUCAGUUUAACAUAAGAACCAUAACCAUCAAGAGGACUAGGCAACUUAGGUAGGCCUACCAAACCGUUCAAAUCUCUCCAGCUUGUAUUGUCGGAGUCAUACCAUGUCAGAGCUCCGUCUUUAGAAACAGAGUAGAGAACAUUAUCAACCUCGCAGAAAGAACCUGAGCACAUAGUACCCGUGCUUGGAUAUUGUUCAACCAGGUCCCAUCUACAUUGCUUUGAGUCGAAAGCAAACACCCCAUCGAAUAAAGUCACCACGUGGAGCUUUCCGUCAAUAAGAAAAUUGAUUCUGGCGCUAUCAAAACCACCACAGGAAGGGAGAUCCCAAGUUUGGGUGUUUGUGUUGAAUACCUCGAAGGAGCUCUUCCAGGAACCAUCAAGAUGAUGGAAGCGUCGUCCCAGUACAUAUAUCUUGCGAUCAAGGACCCUGGCAGAAAGUUCAGUUAGCUCCACUGGCAUGCGUGGAGACUUACGCCACCUGUGAGUCUUGCAAUCAAGGAUCGAGACCCCAGAGGUGGGCAUGGUUUUAUUUUUAUCUGCUACGCCAAUGUUGUAGAUAUCAGAACCAACCGCCACAAGAUCUGAAUAACACAAACCCAUCAUACGAGGAGAAUUAUCAUCGAGCGUUAAGACUCUAGUCAAAACGUAGCCGCCGCCG